rnacentral:rRNA from 1 species
GACAGAGGCCUCGAGCGUUAGGCGGAAUCACUGGGCUUAAAGCGUGUGUAGGCGGAGGCGUAAGUACCUUGUGAAAUCCCACGGCUCAACUAUGGAACUGCUGGGUAUACUGCGUCUCUUGAGUCACUCAGGGGCGAGCGGAACAGAUGGUGGAGCGGUGAAAUGCGUAGAUAUCAUCUGGAACGCCAAUGGUGAAGACAGCUCGCUGGGGGUGUACUGACGCUG